GCAACUCGACUACAUGAAGCUGGAAUCGCUAGUAAUCGUAGAUCAGCAUGCUACGGUGAAUACGUUCCCGGGUCUUGUACACACCGCCCGUCACACCACGAGAGUUUGUAACACCCGAAGCCGGUGGAGUAACCUUUUAGGAGCUAGCCGUCGAAGGUGGGACAAAUGAUUGGGGUGAAGUCGUAACAAGGUAGCCGUAUCGGAAGGUGCGGCUGGAUCACCUCCUUU
rnacentral:rRNA from 1 species